AUGGAGCUACUGCGCGCCCAGGCGCGAUUCAAGAAGCAGGCGAAUCGCCAUCGCGCCGAGCGCGCCUUCGACGUCGGCGAACAAGUCCUCAAGCUUCAGCCUUCCGCUCAGUCCUCCGUUGCCAACCGCUCGUGCCGCAAGCUGGCAUACAAGUUCUUCGGCCCCUUCACGGUCGCGGAGCGCAUUGGCACCCUGGCGUAUCGCCUGCAAUUGCCGCCGGACAGCCGCAUCCAUCCGGUCUUCCACGUCUCGCAGCUCAAGCCGUUCGUCCCCGACUACUCGCCGGUUUUCGCUGAGCUUCCCAAGAUACCUGGCCUCACGGCUGCGGACCGCGUUCCGAUCGCCAUUCUGGAUCGCCGCCUGAUGAAGAAGAGCGGCGCCCCGAUGAUCCAUGUUCAGAUUCAGUGGAGCGCCAUGCCUCUGUCCGCAGUAACCUGGGAAGACUAUUAUGUGCUACGGCAGCGCUACCCGGACGCGCCCAUCUGGGCAGAGGNNNNNNNNNNGUCACCCCUGCAGAUCAGUCUGCAGCGGACUGAUCCAGUGCAAGUGCCUUGCAACGACCAAGUCAGCGUUCCAGCUGGAGGACCAAGUGUAGCAUGCGUGUGA
rnacentral:rRNA from 1 species